rnacentral:rRNA from 1 species
AUUGAACGCUAGCGGGAUGCUUUACACAUGCAAGUCGAACGAGUGGCGGACGGGUGAGUAAUAUAUCGGAAGUGCCCAGUAGAGGGGGAUAACUACUGGAAACGGUAGCUAAUACCGCAUACUAUCGGAUAGCCUAUAUGGGAUUAGCUAGUAGGUGAGGUAAUGGCUCACCUAGGCGACGAUCCCUAGCUGGUCUGAGAGGAUGAUCAGGCACACUGGGACUGAGACACGGCCCAGACUCCUACGGAGGCAGCAGUGGGGAAUAUUGCACAAUGGGCGCAAGCCUGAUGCAGCCAUGCCGCGUGUAUGAAGAAGGCCCUAGGGUUGUAAAGUACGUUCAUUCGGGAGGCGUUAACGACAGAAGAAGCACCGGCUAACUACGGGCCAGCAGCCGCGGUAAUUC